rnacentral:rRNA from 1 species
AACGUAGGAGACAAACGUUAUCCGGAGUUACUGGGCGUAAAGGGCGUGUAGGUGGUUUCGUAAGUCUGGCGUGAAAUUUCUCGGCUUAACCGAGGCAGGUCGUCGGAUACUGCGGAACUUGAGGACGGUAGAGGCGUGUGGAAUUCCGGGUGUAGUGGUGAAAUGCGUAGAGAUCCGGAGGAACACCAGUGGCGAAGGCGACACGCUGGGCCGUACCUGACACUGAUGCGCGACAGCAUGGGGAGCAAACGAGG